CAGCAGCCACGGGAAUACAGAGGGUGCGAGCGUUAAUCGGAUUUACUGGGCGUAAAGCGUGCGUAGGCGGCUUCUUAAGUCGGAUGUGAAAUCCCUGAGCUUAACUUAGGAAUUGCAUUCGAUACUGGGAAGCUAGAGUAUGGGAGAGGAUGGUAGAAUUCCAGGUGUAGCGGUGAAAUGCGUAGAGAUCUGGAGGAAUACCGGUGGCGAAGGCGGCCCCCUGGACAAAGACUGACGCUCAGGUGCGAAAGCGUGGGGAGCAAACAGGAUUAGAUACCCCUGUAGUCCCUGUCUCUUAUAA
rnacentral:rRNA from 1 species